AACGAACGCUGGCGGCAUGCCUAACACAUGCAAGUCGAACGAGACCUUCGGGUCUAGUGGCGCACGGGUGCGUAACGCGUGGGAAUCUGCCCUUAGGUUCCGGAAUAACUUCGGGAAACUGAAGCUAAUACCGGAUGAUGACGUAAGUCCAAAGAUUUAUCGCCUAAGGAUGAGCCCGCGUUGGAUUAGCCUAGUUGGUGAGGUAAAAGGCUCACCAAGGCGACGAUCCAUAGCUGGUCUGAGAGGAUGAUCAGCCACACUGGGACUGAGACACGGCCCAGACUCCUACGGGAGGCAGCAGUGGGGAAUAUUGGACAAUGGG
rnacentral:rRNA from 1 species